GACGAACCGAGCGAACGUUAUUCGGAAUCACUGGGCUUAAAGGGCGCGUAGGCGGGCGGCCAAGUCAGGGGUGAAAGCCCCCAGCUCAACUGGGGAAGUGCCUCUGAUACUGGUCAUCUCGAGGGAGAUAGGGGCGUGCGGAACUUCCGGUGGAGCGGUGAAAUGCGUAGAUAUCGGAAGGAACACCGGUGGCGAAGGCGGCCCCCUGGUUGGAUACUGACGCUGAGACGCGAAAGCGUGGGGAGCAAACAGG
rnacentral:rRNA from 1 species